rnacentral:rRNA from 1 species
AUUGAACGCUGGCGGCAUGCUUUACACAUGCAAGUCGGACGGCAGCACAGAGAAGCUUGCUUCUUGGGUGGCGAGUGGCGAACGGGUGAGUAAUAUAUCGGAACGUACCGAGUAAUGGGGGAUAACUAAUCGAAAGAUUAGCUAAUACCGCAUAUUCUCUGAGGAGGAAAGCAGGGGACCUUCGGGCCUUGCGUUAUUCGAGCGGCCGAUAUCUGAUUAGCUAGUUGGUGGGGUAAAGGCCUACCAAGGCGACGAUCAGUAGCGGGUCUGAGAGGAUGAUCCGCCACACUGGGACUGAGACACGGCCCAGACUCCUACGGGAGGCAGCAGUGGGGAAUUUUGGACAAUGGGCGCAAGCCUGAUCCAGCCAUGCCGCGUGUCUGAAGAAGGCCUUCGGGUUGUAAAGGACUUUUGUCAGGGAAGAAAAGGACAGGGUUAAUACCCCUGUUUGAUGACG